CCUCUAACUAGCCUUUCACCAUUCUUUUUCAUCCAAAAUCGGUUUUGUUAAGUUUGUUUUCAAAGUUUAUGUUUUAACUUUCAAUAUGUGGAGUUUGGAAUUGGUAUGAGCAUAUGAUAUCCUUGGUUCUCGCAUCUAAGUAGUAGCAUUCCAUUAAUGAGAUCAUAUCUAAAUGCUUAUUAAUUCCAGAAAAUGCUUCCUUUGUUAUACAUAUAUGUGAGCGUUCGUUUUCAUAUUUACAUCAAUCUUCUCACAUAUAACUAGUAUAGGGUGUGUAGUUAGAAAAUCUGUGUGAAAAUUGAGUGCAUAUCUAGUAAGGAAUUGAGCAAAUUCUCUAAGGCAU
rnacentral:lncRNA from 1 species